AAGGAGUCUAACAAAUAUGCGAGCAUUAGAGUGGCAAACUCUUUGCGCAACGAAAGUAAAAGUCUGUGAAGGCAACUGCAACAGAGACCGGCCCAGAUUUAAUAUGACGGGACCGAGCAUGAGCAGAUAUGUUGGGACCAGAGAGAUGGUGAAGUAUGCCUGAAUAGGGCGAAGCCAGAGGAAACUCUGGGGGAGGCUGGCAGCGGGGCGGACGUGCAAAUCGAUCGUCAAAUUUGGGUAUAGGGGCGAAAGACUAAUCGAACAAUCUAGUAGAGGGUUCCUG
rnacentral:misc_RNA from 1 species